rnacentral:rRNA from 1 species
UACGUAGGGCGCAAGCGUUGUCCGGAAUUAUUGGGCGUAAAGAGCUCGUAGGCGGCUUGUCACGUCGGCUGUGAAAACCCGGGGCUCAACCCCGGGCCUGCAGUCGAUACGGGCAAGCUAGAGUUCGGUAGGGGAGACUGGAAUUCCCGGUGUAGCGGUGAAAUGCGCAGAUAUCGGGAGGAACACCGGUGGCGAAGGCGGGUCUCUGGGCCGAAACUGACGCUGAGGAGCGAAAGCGUGGGGAGCAAACAGG